UACGGGGGGUGCGAGCGUUGUCCGGAAUCACUGGGCGUAAAGGGCGCGUAGGUGGUUUGAUAAGGGUGUGGUGAAAGCCCGGGGCUCAACCCCGGGUCUGCCGUGCCGACUGUCAAACUCGAGGGCUGUAGAGGCAGACGGAAUUCCGGGUGUAGCGGUGGAAUGCGUAGAGAUCCGGAGGAAGACCGGUGGCGAAGGCGGUCUGCUGGGCAGUUUCUGACACUGAUGCGCGACAGCGUGGG
rnacentral:rRNA from 1 species